GACGAACGCUGGCGGCGUGCUUAACACAUGCAAGUCGAACGAUGAAGCCGGAGCUUGCUCUGGUGAAUUAGUGGCGAACGGGUGAGUAACACGUGAGUAACCUGCCCUUGACUCUGGGAUAACUGCGGGAAACUGUAGCUAAUACCGGAUACGACCCUCGGAGGCAUCUCCUGGGGGUGGAAAGAAUCUCGGUCAAGGAUGGACUCGCGGCCUAUCAGCUAGUUGGUGAGGUAAAGGCUCACCAAGGCGACGACGGGUAGCCGGCCUGAGAGGGCGACCGGCCACCCUGGGACUGAGGCACGGCCCAGACUGCUACGGGAGACAGCAGUGGGGAAUAUUGCACAAUGGGCGGAAGCCUGAUGCAGCAACGCCGCGUGAGGGAUGACGGCCUUCGGGUUGUAAACCUCUUUUAGCAGGGAAGAAGCGAAAGUGACGGUACCUGCAGAAAAAGCACCGGCUAACUACGUGCCAGCAGCCGCGGUAA
rnacentral:rRNA from 1 species